AGCUUUAUUUAAUGGGUGAAGCUAGGAUGUACUCCCACUGCUUGCUUGGUCACCUCAAAAGUUUCUGUAAGGUUUGGUGAUUUUCCUCAAUGCUCCUUAGAAAACCAGCUCUGAAAACAGGCUGCCUUUACAGGUGGCUGUGGGAUUUGAUGAAAAUUCAAAAGUUCUGGGCAUGUGAGAAAGGUCUGCUUUCCGCGUACUUCUGCUGAAAGAAGCAAGUGAAAACCACCUGUUUUACCCAUCAAGGCAUGUGGGAGCCAUCCCCUUCAAUAAUCUUUCUUAGAAAUAACUUGGGAGCCUGUAAUCUCACUUCCUCCUUCCAGGGAGCCCCUGUUCCCUCACCAGAGGGCAGAGGAGGGUGAGGAGCUGCCAAGAGUGAGCAUCCAGAGCAGGGUCCUGCCUCUAUGACUUCUGCAGAUGUGGAGCAGUGGUUUCAAACUCAUCAGGAGGGUCCUUUUGAAUUUCGAGUUGGUUCACAGAAACACAAGAGAGAUUUCAAAGGCAAUUGAAUUGGGGGUGGCUCUGAUCUAAACAGAGAGCCAUUUUACAGUAAUGUCUCUGUCUCCUUGAUGUUACAACAUCCUGUAUUGAGAUUGUAAAUAUGGGAAGCUUUUUUAUAUAUUUACAGUCAGGAAAUAAGGGACUGAAAGAUUGAAAUCUGAAUGCUCACACUGAGGUAAAAAAUCUGCAGAAGUUUGAGCGCUGCAAGCAGUGGCACAGGACAAGGCAAUCAGAUGCUGCUGACACAUGUCAUCUGCUUCUGUCAGACUGGGACCAUUCAGCCCUGCCUGAAAUAGGAUAUGAGUGACAAAAGGAACAAGGAUGACUGUGUAGAAGAGAUUCCCAGGGGACACAGGUUUCGUUAAGAUUGUCCAUUGCACAUGUGAUGCACCAUGGCAUUGUACAUCUAAAAGGCAGAAGAGCACAUGAAAAAAGAGAAGCUCAGGACAGGGCUGGAUGAGUGGCUCCUCUUCCAUGGGAUGAAUCCAUCCCACGUGCCUGCCAUCUGCGAGCAGAAUUUCAACUGGAGGAUCUGUGGCACUCAUGGGACAAUGCAUGGAAAAGAGAGAUGCCAGUUGCUCUCAUCAGUACUGCCCAUCCAGCACCAGCUACCAGUGUGUUUGUAGCUCUAGCUGUCGUCGGAGACUUUGAUCAUGGCAACAAGGCCUACCUUUGCCCUCCACCUAGACCUGAGAUUUCAAACAGACUUUUGGACAGCUGUGUAGAUGAUCAAAAAAAUCCUUCAAUUUUUGUCAUCUUUGAGAAGAACCAGAUUUAUCCUGCCUGUAUCCUGGAGUAUACUUGUAGGGUGCUGUCAGAGGUAAUGAUAGCUUGUCUGAACCAUAUGAACCACACUUGAACCAUAUGUGUUGUUUUUUUUUUUCAACUCUAUGUUGCCUGUAGGUACCUCGUAGGUGACUUUGUUACACUGCAUUUCUGUUUCAGUUGCAAGAGUGAAACUACAAGAAUGGUGACCUGUGGAAUGGCUGGGUCCUCUAUGAGUGUUGUUUUCCUCCUAAACAGACUGGUGGCAGUUAAAUUGUAGUAAAUAAUAUAACCAUGACAAUGUGAUGAUGAUUUGGAUGCAAGUGUGAUGUAAAUUUAAAUGUGUGUUAUGAUUAAUUUAUAAAACUAAUUGCUUCCAUGUACAACAUGGUAUAUAACUAGAUGUUAUUUAGGACAUGCUUGGGGAAAUGAAUGCAGAAAACAGGGAAAAUGGAGUAUAAAAAAGCAUGUUUGAGAAGUGACUCGCUGGAGUUGUUUAUCCACAGAGUGAAGAUCAUCAGCAUCUUGUCAUUGUAGGAAAAGUAGACAAUGGGCUCUGAGCUGUUUUUGUCCUGUGGUUUGGCUGCUUUGAGUUUUGUGGCAAGAAAAGGCUUUUAGAUCAUAUCCUAAAGGAGAGUUACAUCAUGUUCCCUAAUUUCUCUGCUGGUCCCAUUUGGUUAUCUUGCACUAAGAGUCAGAAGGGCUCCAAUUCAGACAGGAAAAUAAAAAUUCCUGGAUAACAAAGAAGCAAGUGAUUCAUUGGCCUUCCUCAGUUUGCCUUCACUGUUGCUAAAGCUGGAGUAGGCAACAUACCAGGCAGCUUGUGAAGGAACCCAUUUUCACUUAGCACCUCCGAGAGAAAGGGUAGCUGCCACAGGCUAUUCUGAAGUCCAGUCAUACCACAAAUCAGAACAACAGUAAUUUCCUGCUCCUCUAGAAAGAGCUAAGUUGUUAUUUUGAGCUGUUUGUGCCCUCCCGGACUGCAGGCUGGGCUGGGUGCCGCUUUAAGGGGAUUACACAACCUCCCCAAACUCAGAGGAGGCGUGUAAAAGGUUCCCUGGAUUCACACCAGGAUGUCGUAGUGGAUUUCUACCCUGUGUUGCCACAUAGGUGUACAGAAGCCUGCUAUGUGCCUGGCUGUCCUGUGCUGAUGGCAGCGCUGGCACGUUUGGGUGUUAAACCAGGGCUGGGGGAGAGCAGAGGGGUGGUGCCAUCUGAGACAGAUGUUGCUCAGUUUUUGCUCUGGGUGAGGGAUGAUCAGGCUCUCCCAUGCUUGUGUGGGAAUUGUAGGAUGAGGAGAGCUCCAGCAGGUCCACAAAACAAACAAACAAACAAACAAAAAAAACAGGAGGUGAAGGAUGCAUUGGAAGGGGUGACAUGUCCAGCUAGUAUUAAGACUUUUCUUUUAUCUCUCUCUCUAUCUCUCCAAUAAUCAGCCUACCAAAUCCAGACCUUUUCAGUUUCCCUCAAGCCACCAGUACUGCUGGGUGUUGUUGGGAUUUGCUGGGAUGUAGGUGCUUUUCAUUAAGGGGCUAUCAAAUCUCAUAUUCUGUGACCCUGAAGCAUUCCUGUAGCGAAACGUGGUUAAAUUAAUUCCACUGAUAAAACCUGGCAUAUGAAUUUUGUCUCUGCA